AAAACUGGCAGAGGACCUGGGGGCAGGCAAGCAAGAACCAUGCAGUUCAUCCUGCUGGUGGGUUUGAUCGCUACCACCCUGGCAGUUGCUCCUGUCCGCUUUGACAGGGAGAAGGUGUUCCGCGUAAAGCCCCAGGAUGAAAACCAAGCAAACAUCAUAAAGGACUUGGCCAAAACCAACAAGCUCGACUUCUGGUAUCCAGAUGCCAGCCACCACGUGGCUGCUAAUAUGACAGUGGAUUUCCAAGUCAGUGAAAAGGAAUCCCAGUCCAUCCAGUUUGCCUUGGAUCAAAAUAAAAUGCACUAUGAAAUCUUGAUUCAUGAUCUACAAGAAGUGAUUGAGAAACAGUUUGAUGUCAAAGAAGAUACGCCAGGCAGGCACAGCUAUGCAAAAUACAAUACCUGGGACAAGAUUGUUGCUUGGACUGAAAAAAUGGUGCACAAGCAUCCUGAAAUGGUCUCUCGUAUUAAAAUUGGAACUACUGUUGAAGAUAAUCCACUGUAUGUUCUCAAGAUUGGGAAAAAAGAUGAAAGUAGAAAGGCUAUUUUUAUGGACUGUGGCAUUCAUGCACGAGAAUGGAUCUCCCCAGCAUUCUGCCAGUGGUUUGUCUAUCAGGCAGCCAAAACUUAUGGAAAAAACAAAAUUAUGACCAAACUCCUGGACAGCAUGAACUUUUAUGUUCUUCCUGUGUUCAACAUUGAUGGAUAUAUUUGGUCAUGGAAACAGAACCGCCUGUGGAGAAAAAAUCGUUCCAAGAACCAAAACUCCAAAUGCAUCGGCACUGACCUCAACAGGAACUUUAAUGUCUCAUGGAACUCUUCUUCUAGCACCAAAAACCCAUGUGAGGACACCUAUCCGGGCCCCGUUCCAGAGUCCGAGAAAGAGACCAGAGCUGUCACUGACUUCAUUCAAAGCCACCUGAAAUCAAUCAAAGGCUACAUCACCAUACACUCCUACUCCCAGAUGCUAUUGUUUCCGUAUGGAUAUACAUCAAAAUUGCCACCUAACAAUGAGGAACUGGUACCAAAGUUGCAAAGAUCGGCACUGAUGUUUUAGCAACUCGCUAUGAAACCCGCUACAUCUAUGGUCCAAUAGCAUCAACAAUUUACCAGACACCAGGUUCUUCUUUAGACUGGGCUUACAACCUGGGCAUCAAGCACACAUUUGCCUUUGAGCUCCGAGAUGAAGGCAGAUUUGGUUUUCUCCUUCCAGAAUCUCAGAUAAAGUCAACCUGUAAAGAGACCAUGCUUGCUAUCAAAUAUAUUGCCAAGUAUAUCCUCAAGAAUACUUCCUAAAGAAUUGCCCUCAGUUUGGAAUAAGCCAAUUAACUCUUCUUUGUGCCUCUCAUCAGAAUGUCAAUCUUCAAUUAUCCCUAAAUAAUGCUUCCACAUCACCUGACUCUUGCUCAUUUAAGUACUGUAUUAUUUCUUUUUGCUUUCAUUUUCUCUCAGUAGCAACUUAACAAAUAGCUUUAAACAAAAGAUGUUAACUGCCUUUCUUUGUUUCAAGUAAAGUUUAAAACAUGCACAAAGUAUUAUUUUGAGUAUUUUCAAAGGUGAUAUAAAGUGGGUCAUAAGAAAGACACGAGAACCCUCAGUUUCUCCAGAAUCAGAUUUUCAGUGUGGCUUCAUCAUUUUAUGUGCUAAUAUAAUAAAAAUAAAACACAUUCCAAAA